UACGUAGGGUGCAAGCGUUGUCCGGAAUUAUUGGGCGUAAAGAGCUCGUAGGCGGUCUGUCGCGUCGGCUGUGAAAACUCGGGGCUCAACCCCGAGCCUGCAGUCGAUACGGGCAGACUAGAGUGCAGUAGGGGAGACUGGAAUUCCUGGUGUAGCGGUGAAAUGCGCAGAUAUCAGGAGGAACACCGGUGGCGAAGGCGGAUCUCUGGGCCAUUACUGACGCUGAGGAGCGAAAGCGUGGGGAGCGAACAGG
rnacentral:rRNA from 1 species